rnacentral:lncRNA from 12 species
CUGCUGCUCUGAGUGAGUGUGCAGAAAUAGACCCCCAGUAUUUCUGGCUGGAGGGGGGAGUUCCGGCUGUAAGGCUACAGCUGACCCCCUCACACUCCCUUAAACGCAAACUCGCGCAUCUCCCUGCUUCACACCCCACUCAGCUCCAGUGAGAGUGUGUCUACAGCAUCUGCGCCGCAGAACAGGAGGCUCGUAUCAGUGCGCGUGGGUCUACUUUCUUGCGCGGAGGAGCCCGGCAGCGCUUCGAAAAGUUCCCCGGAGUGAAUCCACCGGCAGAAGACGCAGAGAUUCACGAGCAUUCCCUGAACAUCCUCGUCUAACAGCUCAAACAACUCAGAGGAGCAGAACACAACACAACUCUUCGUCUGCACCCCCCCCCCCCCCCCACCACCAUCUUCCUCCUCUCCUUUCCGUGAGAAUGGCGCAGAUUUUACCGAUCCGCUUCCAGGAGCAUCUGCAGGAUCUUAUCCAGACAGAGAGACCCGAGCCGUAUCUAGAGACCAAUCAUCACAGAGGCGUUUGAUGUGAGAUGUUGUGUCAGUAUCGGGGCAGCAGGUUUUGUGAAGUCAGUGAAGAUGUUCACUAGAGCACUAAACACAGACUCACCCCUCUGUCUGUAUGUCCGUGUGUGUGUUUGUGUUUGCGUGUGUGUGUGUGUGUGUGUGUUUGUCAGUAACACUGACAGCAGAAAAGGGAGGAAAGAGUUGUAGCUCUGUUUCCUCUGACUCAGUGUGUGUGUGUGUGUGUGUGUGUUGGCCGUAGGCUACUAUACAGUAUCUCCAGGUCUUUCGUAAGCAGUAUGUUCCCGUCAGCGAACAGCAGCUUUGUGUUAUGCCUGUGUUUCCCAGCAGUGAAUCAUUCAGAGCCCCGAGAGAAGCUCCUGAGCCCUGAAGACCCAAACACCCAUGAAACAUGUUUAAUCAUACGGCUGUGCUGAGAGUUUACUUUGAGGAAAAUAUCAUGAUAAUGUCAGUAUAUCUAAAAUCUCAACACUGGUUAGAACAGAAACUCUUGAUUAACAGUUGUUUUAUCGCUUGAGGCUUUAUUGCAGGAAUUGCAAGUUUCUUUUUUUUUUUUUUUUUUUUUUUUUAUUCAGCUAAACCCCUUUGACCUCAAAUAUUUACUUGAAGUACCCCUUGACUUUUUGAGUUAAUAUUUCAAUUACAAUAACACAUUCACGUGUUCAUGGUUCUGUGAUGUCGAAGGUCACAUGACAUGCAAGUAAACAAAUCAACUAAAUAGUUUU